rnacentral:rRNA from 1 species
AACAUGUCUUUUUGAUAAUAAUUUAAAGUCUAACCUGCCCACUGAUAAUUUUUGAAGGGCCGCGGUAUAUUGACUGUGCAAAGGUAGCAUAAUCAUUAGUCUUUUAAUUGAAGGCUUGUAUGAAUGGUUGGAUGAGGUAUUAACUGUCUCAAUUUAAUAAAUAAUAGAAUUUUAUUUUUAAGUUAAAAAGCUUAAAUGAUUUUAAAAGACGAGAAGACCCUAUAGAUCUUUAUAUUUAAUUUUUUAAUAAUUUUUUAGUUAAAAUUUAUUUUUAGGAAUAAAAAUAUUGAGUUGGGGUGAUUAAAAAAUUUAGUAAACUUUUUUUUUAUUUAAACAGUGAUUUUUGAAUAAUUGAUCCAUUUUUUGUGAUUAAAAGAUUAAGUUACCUUAGGGAUAACAGCGUAAUUUUUUUGGAGAGUUCUUAUCGAUAAAAAAGAUUGCGACCUCGAUGUUGAAUUAAAGGUUAAUUUUAGGUGUAGAAGUUUAAAAUUUUGGUC